rnacentral:rRNA from 1 species
ACUCCUACGGGAGGCAGCAGUGGGGAAUCUUGCGCAAUGGGCGAAAGCCUGACGCAGCCAUGCCGCGUGAAUGAUGAAGGUCUUAGGAUUGUAAAAUUCUUUCACCGGGGACGAUAAUGACGGUACCCGGAGAAGAAGCCCCGGCUAACUUCGUGCCAGCAGCCGCGGUAAUACGAAGGGGGCUAGCGUUGCUCGGAAUUACUGGGGCGUAAAGGGAGCGUAGGCGGACAUUUAAGUCAGGGGUGAAAUCCCGGGGCUCAACCUCGGAAUUGCCUUUGAUACUGGGGUGUCUUGAGUAUGAGAGAGGUGUGUGGAACUCCGAGUGUAGAGGUGAAAUUCGUAGAUAUUCGGAAGAACACCAGUGGCGAAGGCGACACACUGGCUCAUUACUGACGCUGAGGCUCGAAAGCGUGGGGAGCAAACAGGAUUAGAUACCCUGGUAGCACAGAG